GAUGAACGCUGGCGGCGUGCCUAAUACAUGCAAGUCGAGCGGACGGACGCGAAGCUUGCUUCUUUGUCGUUUGCGGAGGGCGGGAGUGUAACGCGUGGAUAACCUACUUAUAUGACUGGGAUAAUUUCGGGAAACCGGAGCUUAUACCGGAUAAUAUUUUGAACCGCAUGGUUCAAUGGUGAAAGACGGCGUUGCUGUCUCUUAUAGCUGGUUCCGCGCUGCAUUAGGUAGUUGGUACGGUACCAGCUUACCACGGCGACGAUGCGUAGCCGACGGGAGAGGGUGGUCGGCCACACGGGAACUUAAACACGGUCCAGACUCCUACGGGAGGCAGCAGUAGGGAAUCGUCCGCAAUGGGCGGAAGCCUGACAGAGCAAGGCCGCGUGAGUGAUGAAGGUCUUCGGAUCGUAAAACUCUGUUACUAGGGAAAAACAGAUGUGUCAGGAACUGUGCACAGCGUGACGGUACCUAGUCAGAAAGCCACGGCUAACUACGUG
rnacentral:rRNA from 1 species